UAUUAAAAAUUUCAUCCAUUUAUAUUGUUAAAAACUAGCGAAGUUGUUGGAAUAACUAGAUAGUGGCAUAAGACACGCCACGUAUAUACCUCAUGCUAACGUACAAGAACCAAUUUUUAACAGUAAAAAUGAAUAAAAUUUUUAACA
rfam:Gossypium arboreum cultivar AKA8401 contig_5441_3, whole genome shotgun sequence.